rnacentral:rRNA from 1 species
AGUCAGUAGGAGUAGACCCGAAACCGGGUGAUCUACCCAUGUCCAGGAUGAAGCUGCCGUAAGAGGCAGUGGAGGUCCGGACCCACAUCCGUUGAAAAGGGUGGGGAUGAGGUGUGGGUAGGGGAGAAAUUCCAAUCGAACCCGGAGAUAGCUGGUUCUCCUCGAAAUAGCUUUAGGGCUAGCCUCGGUCAUGAGUCUUGUGGAGGUAGAGCACUGAAUUUCCUAGGGGGCGUCAAAGCCUACCGAAGAAUAUCAAACUCCGAAUGCCAUGUAGACAGGACCGGGAGUCAGACUGCACGAGAUAAGUUGGGCAGUCAAAAGGGAAAGAGCCCAGACCUUCAGUUAAGGUCCCAAAGUGUACGUUAAGUGGAAAAGGAUGUGGGGUCUCGAAGACAACCAGGAUGUUGGCUCAGAAGCAGCCAUUCAUUCAAAGAGUGCGUAAUAGCUCACUGGUCGAGAGGCCCUGCGCCGAAAAUGUCCGGGGCUGAAACGUACCACCGAAACUAAGGGAUCCGCAAGGAUCGGUAGAGGAGCAUUGCAUGCGGAACGAAGCAGUACCGUAAGGAGCUGUGGACUGCAUGGAAGAGAGAAUGCCGGAAUGAGUAGCGAGAUAAAGGUGAGAAUCCUUUAGGCCGAAUAUCCAAGGUUUCCAGGGUAAAGCUGAUCUGCCCUGGGUAAGUCGGGGCCUAAGGCGAGGACGAGAGUCGUAGCCGAUGGACAACAGGUGGAGAUUCCUGUACUGCGGUAUGACAGAACUGUGGGGACACGUAAGGAAAGCGGAAGCCGGGAAUGGAAAGCCCGGUGCAAGCAGGGUACCAGCCACUCAGGCAAAUCCGGGUGUCAAUGGGAAGCUGUGAUGCGGAGCGAAAUACAAGUAGCGAAGUCCGUGAGCCAUGCGUCAAGAAAAGCCGCUAUUGUUUAUACCGUACCCGUACCGUAAACCGACACAGGUGGAUGAGGAGAGAAUCCUAAGGCCGGCGGAAGAAGCAUUGUCAAGGAACUCGGCAAAAUGACCCCGUAACUUCGGGAGAAGGGGUGCCACUGAGAAGUGGCCGCAGAGAAUAGGCUCAAGCAACUGUUUAGCAAAAACACAGGUCUAUGCGAAACCGAAAGGUGAGGUAUAUGGGCUGACGCCUGCCCGGUGCUGGAAGGUUAAGAGGAGAGGUUAGCGCAAGCGAAGCUUUGAAUUUAAGCCCCAGUAAACGGCGGCCGUAACUAUAACGGUCCUAAGGUAGCGAAAUUCCUUGUCGGGUAAGUUCCGACCCGCACGAAAGGCGUAAUGAUUUGAGCGCUGUCUCGACAAUGCAUCCGGUGAAAUUGAAGUACCAGUGAAGAUGCUGGUUACCUGCGCCAGGACGGAAAGACCCCAUGGAGCUUUACUCCAGUUUGGUACUGGGGUCCGGUAUUGCAUGUACAGGAUAGGUGGGAGGCUAGGAAGCAGUAACGCCAGUUGCUGCGGAGCCGCUGUUGGGAUACCACCCUUGCAGUACUGGGCUUCUAACCAGCCGCCGUGAACCGGCGGUGGGACAAUGCCAGACGGGGAGUUUGACUGGGGCGGUCGCCUCCGAAAGGGUAUCGGAGGCGCCCAAAGGUUCCCUCAGAAUGGACGGAAACCAUUCGAAGAGUGCAAAGGCAGAAGGGAGCUUGACUGCGACACCGACGGGUGGAGCAGGUACGAAAGUAGGGCUUAGUGAUCCGGUGGUAUUAAGUGGGAAUGCCAUCGCUCAACGGAUAAAAGCUACCCUGGGGAUAACAGGCUUAUCACUCCCAAGAGUUCACAUCGACGGAGUGGUUUGGCACCUCGAUGUCGGCUCAUCGCAUCCUGGGGCUGUAGUAGGUCCCAAGGGUUGGGCUGUUCGCCCAUUAAAGCGGUACGCGAGCUGGGUUCAGAACGUCGUGAGACAGUUCGGUCCCUAUCCGGCGUGGGCGUAGGAUAUCUGAGAGGAGCUGUCCUUAGUACGAGAGGACCGGGAUGGACGGACCGCUGGUGUACCGGUUAGACUGCCAAGUCUACGGCCGGGUAGCCAAGUCCGGAAGGGAUAAACGCUGAAGGCAUCUAAGC